rnacentral:rRNA from 1 species
UAGGCUGCAACUCGCCUACAUGAAGCUGGAAUUGCUAGUAAUGGCAGGUCAGCAUACUGCCGUGAAUACGUUCCCGGGCCUUGUACACACCGCCCGUCACACCAUGAGAGUUGGGAAUACCCGAAGCCUGUGAGCUAACUUAUAGAGGCAGCAGUCGAAGGUAGAAUCAAUGAUUGGGGUGAAGUCGUAACAAGGUAUC